rnacentral:rRNA from 1 species
GGAAUCUUGCGCAAUGGGCGAAAGCCUGACGCAGCAACGCCGCGUGCGGGAAGAAGGCUUUCGGGCUGUAAACCGCUUUCAGUAGGAACGAAACUGACGGUACCUACAGAAGAAGGAGCGGCCAACUAUGUGCCAGCAGCCGCGGUGACACAUAGGCUCCAAGCGUUGUCCGGAUUUAUUGGGCGUAAAGAGCUCGUAGGCGGUUGAGUAAGCCGGGUGUGAAAACUUUGGGCUUAACCCAAAGAUGCCACUCGAUACUGCUUUGACUUGAGUUCGGUAGGGGAGUGGGGAAUUCCUUGUGUAGCGGUGAAAUGCGCAGAUAUAAGGAGGAACACCGGUGGCGAAGGCGCCACUCUGGGCCGAUACUGACGCUGAGGAGCGAAAGCGUGGGGAGCAAACAGGAUUAGAUACCCUGGUAGUCCACGCGGUAAACGGUGGUCACUAGGUGUGGGUCUCUUCAAACGAGAUCUGCGCCGUCGCUAACGCAUUAAGUGACCCGCCUGGGGAGUACGGUCGCAAGACUAAAACUCAAAGGAAUUGACGG